UACGUAGGGUGCAAGCGUUGUUCGGAAUCAUUGGGCGUAAAGCGCGCGUAGGCGGUUAGAUAAGUCGAUUGUGAAAUCCCUGGGCUCAACCGAGGAAGUGCAGUCGAAACUAUCUAGCUAGAGGACGGCAGAGGAAGGUGGAAUUCCAAGUGUAGAGGUGAAAUUCGUAGAUAUUUGGAGGAAUACCUGUGGCGAAGGCGGCCUUCUGGACCGGUCCUGACGCUGAGGCGCGAAAGCGUGGGGAGCAAACAGG
rnacentral:rRNA from 1 species